UACGGGGGGGGCAAGCGUUGUUCGGAAUUACUGGGCGUAAAGGGCUCGUAGGUGGCCAACUAAGUCAGACGUGAAAUCCCUCGGCUUAACCGGGGAACUGCGUCUGAUACUGGAUGGCUUGAGUUCGGGAGAGGGAUGCGGAAUUCCAGGUGUAGCGGUGAAAUGCGUAGAUAUCAAGUGGAACACCAGUGGCGAAGGCGAGUCCCUGGACACUUCCUGACACUGAGGCACGAAAGCUAGGGGAGCAAACAGG
rnacentral:rRNA from 1 species